GAAAAGACUGCUAAUACCCUAUGAGCCCUAUGGGGGAAAGAUUUAUCGCCAUGAGAUGUGCCCGCGUUAGAUUAGCUAGUUGGUAAGGUAAUGGCUUACCAAGGCGACGAUCUAUAGCUGGUCUGAGAGGAUGAUCAGCCACACUGGGACUGAGACACGGCCCAGACUCCUACGGGAGGCAGCAGUGGGGAAUAUUGGACAAUGGGGGCAACCCUGAUCCAGCCAUGCCGCGUGUGUGAUGACGGCCUUAGGGUUGUAAAGCACUUUCAGCAGUGAAGAUAAUGACAUUAACUGCAGAAGAAGCCCCGGCUAACUUCGUGCCAGCAGCCGCGGUAAUACGAAGGGGGCUAGCGUUGUUCGGAAUCACUGGGCGUAAAGAGUACGUAGGCGGACUGAUAAGUUAGGGGUGAAAUCCCAAGGCUCAACCUUGGAACUGCCUUUGAUACUGUCAGUCUUGAGAUCGAGANAGGUGAGUGGAACUCCGAGUGUAGAGGUGAAAUUCGUAGAUAUUC
rnacentral:rRNA from 1 species